UUGUGUUUGGAUGUACCCCUAAUCAUCAUGAUCAGUAAAAGUCCUUGUGGAAUAGUCUUCUUCGUGCACAUUGUUUUGCACAAGACAUGACAGGUGUCUUGGAGCCAGAUGAUAUUGUGUUUGCCGUCAAUCCAUGACAUCUGGUAACAAUCAGAUUCUGACAUCUGGCCUUCAGGAAUGUGGUCACAUUUCCCUGGAUGUUUCCUG